UACGUAGGGUGCAAGCGUUAAUCGGAAUUACUGGGCGUAAAGCGUGCGCAGGCGGCUUUGCAAGACAGAUGUGAAAUCCCCGGGCUCAACCUGGGGGCUGCGCUUGAUACUGAUUGGCUUGAAUGCGGGAGAGGAUAGUGGAAUUCCCAGUGUAGAGGUGAAAUUCGUAGAUAUUGGGAAGAACACCAGUGGCGAAGGCGGCUAUCUGGCCCGUUAUUGACGCUGAGGCGGCGAAAGCGUGGGGAGCAAACAGG
rnacentral:rRNA from 1 species